GCCCUCGUAGCUUAGUGGUGGAGCGUGCGGCUGUUAACCGCAAGGUCGCCAGUUCAAACCUGGCCGAGGGCG
rnacentral:tRNA from 1 species